rnacentral:tRNA from 1 species
GCCUCUAUAGCUCAGUGGUAGAGCGCUUGACGUAUGUAACCAAUAUCUGAGUGGAGUCGAACCGAAUUUAAUACUAACAAAUCAACUAGUUGUACUAUAUGACAUCAAGAGGUCCGUGGUUCAAUCCCGCGUGGAGGCA